UCUCGCGCUCUCUCGCUCGCUCGCUCGCUCCAGUCCGGAAAUCUGCGUUGAGUCUGGAACUACCCAGCUCCAGCCUUGGUAGACGACCCGCGCACUCCUCUUGCAGCUAAUUCGGGAUCAUUAAUUUAAUCGGAAAUGAGGUAACCAGUGUAGGAGAUAGAGAAAGCAAACCAAGCAUCGAAUGGCAGUUCUCGUGAAUCCACGCUGAAGAACUUCCUCUGGACUCGAUUUUUAAGCGCGGUUGUCAACACCCCACCACCCGGCCCCCUCCGCGUGUACCACCGCCAGGUGUUAGCUUGCCGGGAAGGAAUCUUCUUUGGAGGGGUGCACCUUGCCAACAGGUGUGGCACCUGGAGGAAGAGAAGGCACAUCCAUGCUAAAGGGAGGUCGGUGCGGCGUCCUCCUUAAUGCAGAUAAUUCUGGAAGACCAGUAGGUGUCGGGGCAGCAUUUGACCUCCUUCAGGUGCUUAGAACCAAGCGUCUGCAAACGUGAUCCCUCCACGUAAGUUUCUCUCUGGAAGCCACCGCUAUUGACUGUAAGCUGUAUUUAAGAAACCUUGGCUGAGUUUACUUAUGACCUAACGGUUAGUCACCAACUGAAGCAGGAUACAGAAUCACCAAGAGAAAUGUGUCAGCUUUUAAACAACUGUAUUAUUGUCAAGCCAACGUGCUACAGAAAUAAAAAUAAGCAUACUAACUAGCAAGGUGUAGAGCCCCGGAAAUGAUUUUUUUCUCACAUUUUGAAAUACCAUGCACAUGUACAUGGCUACUUAAAUAGAACUACUACUGUUCAUUCACUCUUACUCCUUUCUACAACUUUUUUUUUUUUUUCAUUUAAAAAUCAAUGAUUGCUACAGUCUAAACCUCGAGGUUGGACGAAAGUCACAUUGUUGGUCUCCUUACAGCCUCUAGUGGACAGUUUAAGAUCAGUUUCCUGAAAAGGCUCUGCCUGGUGUUCUCGGUUGAGAAGCGUUAUCAAGGUGAAGGUUAAAAUCUCAGAACGUAACCGGUACUGCAUUUCCGAAGAGCCUGAUUUAUGCACAAAUCUGCAUCAUCAUUGCUGAGAGAACACUCUGUGAGGAAUGUGCUGGGGUCCUGAACGUGAAGGUUUUCUUCACAGCAGCAGAGGGAGCACAAGAGUGCUUAGUAAAACAAGCGCACGGGCCCUCCAAGUGGUUCACUUCACUUUAUAUGUGAUGGAAAUGCUCCUAGGAGCUGAAAUAGUUCCAGAGUUCAACAGUCUGGGAAAUCUGAAGGAGGGAAAAAAACAAAAAAAAACAAAUAAGCCCUGCAUUUCCAAAGAUGUGAAGAGAGGACUCUGCUCUCUGAGGAUGGAAGGAAGUAAGAAGACCCUAUUUGUGGCUGCAGGAGAGGAAAAGAAAAAAGCCCACAAGGAAACUACCAGCAGAUGCCCCCCGGUACAUUGUUGUAUAUUCUUCGUUGUGGGUCUUUCUAGUUGUGGCAUAUGGGACGACGCCCCAGCGUGGCUUGAUGAGCAGUGCCAUGUCCGCGCCCAGGAUUCGAACCAACGAAACACUGGGCCACCUGCAGCGAAGCGCGCGAACUUAACCACUCGGCCACGAGUCGUGACAGAAGAAAUGCAGCAGGACAAAGGGGUUGGAAGGAUGUGAAAAAGAAAAGGAAAGGAAAAGAUGGUCAAACAUGCGUCUUCUGGCUGGAGGCCUGCUGUGACUGGACCAGAUCACCUGGAACCGUGCCUGAUUCAGACUUUUGUCACCAGGACUUCUUCCAGAACUGUGUUCUGCUGGCAGAGAGGACUCACUCAGAUAUCCAAAUAGCCUGGCCCAAUCUGAGCUCGUCAGGCCCUUUGACCACCACGUACUGGCCUGCCGAGCUGCCUCCUGGGGAUGGGCCAGCUUCUGAAGACACGCUCUGUCUCCUCUGUCCAACUAGAUCUUGGCUUCUUCCCCCUUCCCUUGGCUGUGCUGAUAUGGUCCCAGCCUGCCCUGCACCCAAAUGUCUCCUACAAAAGAGGAGGAGGCCAGUAGAGAUCAAGAGAAGCAGGCCUCAGGCCC
rnacentral:lncRNA from 1 species